rnacentral:rRNA from 1 species
ACAUGCCUACAACAUAGUGUUAAUGCAUCGGAUCCCAUUAGAACUCUGCAGUUAAGUGCGUUUAGGCUAGAGUAGUACUGGGAUGGGUGACUUCUCGGGAAGUCCUAUUGUUUUACAUGCC